rnacentral:rRNA from 1 species
AACGAACGCUGGCGGCAGGCCUAACACAUGCAAGUCGAACGAGAUCUUCGGAUCUAGUGGCGGACGGGUGAGUAACGCGUGGGAACGUGCCCUUCUCUACGGAAUAGUCCUGGGAAACUGGGUUUAAUACCGUAUACGCCCUUCGGGGAAAGAAUUUCGGGGAAGGAUCGGCCCGCGUUGGAUUAGGUAGUUGGUGGGGUAAUGGCCUACCAAGCCGACGAUCCAUAGCUGGUUUGAGAGGAUGAUCAGCCACACUGGGACUGAGACACGGCCCAGACUCCUACGGGAGGCAGCAGUGGAAUAUUGGCAAUGGGACUGACCAGCCAUGCGCGUGC